rnacentral:misc_RNA from 1 species
CGGUGGCUUACCCUUGGUACGCGUUCUCAACACCCGGUCGACUCGUCCAUCGUGACGACGGCGGCCGCCACCCUCUCACCCACGUACGCCUCCCCUUUCCUCCUCUUCCUCCACUGUUCUUUUCAACUGUUUGCUUCUGUUGAGUGCAGGUUGCCGCUGUCGCCGAGUAACCCCUUCCCUCCUCCCGCUGUUACACACACGCACACUCAAGCACACCGACACAGCCUUGUCUUCUCUUUCUCUCUCUAGCCGAGUGCAGCCAAGACUCGGUUUGUUUCGCAUCUUUCCUUGUUGCUCUCUGCCUGGUGCCGUCGUCGUUGGUACGGUUGACGGAGUUGUUGUGGCUCCUGAAGCAGCCGAAGACACGCAUAAACAGUUCACGUUGUCGGUCAGACGCUUCUUCUUGUCGUGCUGCUAAGCAUCUUCCGCUUUCUCCAUCUCCGGGGAACCGUGGGCCGGCGCAUUUUGCAGGCGGGCACGUGUACGGUUACGUCGCAGCUUCGUCCCAUCGUGUACAGCAUAGUGGAUAGAACCCUCUCGGGGAGAAGCAGGAGGUGCACGUCUUUGUGUGUGUGUGUGUGUUGCGGUACCUCUUCACGUUUGUGUCGCUCUGGCGAGCGCAUCUACGGCUAAAGGUGAUUCGCGUUCUCUCUGCGCUUUUAUAUUUUCCUCCUUGAACGGGCAGACCCAUCAUUCUCUCUCUCUCUGUCGUUUUUUUCUGUCGUUCCUCGGGUCUCGACGUGCUUGCGUGCGAGUGCCUCUCUCUUUGCGUGUGUGGCUGCGCGUGCUGCCUCCCUCCCGCUGUGUAUCCCUUCGUCUCUACCCCGAUCUUGUUAUCCUGCUCUCGCUUCUGCCCAUCAUGACCUCUCUUCCCUUCCCGCUGAUCGAGGACAUUGGGGAGUUGUACAUGCUCGACGACAUCUACGAUUUUCUCGGCGAAGGCACGUUCGCCUCCGUCUUCAAGGCUGUUAGCACAACGAACCGGGACGUCGUGCAGGAGAAUCAGACGGUGGCGCUGAAGAUGAUCGCCAAGCGCAACCUCUCCAGCGACAAGCUUGUGCGUGAUGUCAUCAACGAGGUGCACGUGCUUCGCCAGACGGCGCAUCCGAACUGUGUGCGCUUUAUCGAGUGUGUGCAGACCCCCGUCUACGUCGUCAUUGUGACGGAGUAUAUCGAGGGCGUCGAGCUGUUCCAAGCCCUCAAGGACCAGAAGUUCACGGAGGCGAUGGUGCUGAAUGUAAUGCGGCAGCUGUUGAGCGCGCUUGCGUACCUGCACAACACGCUUCAAAUUGUCCACCGCGACGUCAAGCCUGAGAACGUUAUCAUCUCAACGCACGAGGCACCGUUUCGAGUCGUCCUCGUCGACUUUGGGCUUGCUCGAAGCUGCGAGCGGAAGCGGCCGCGCAUCUCGCGCGAGUUGGCGACGCACUUCCAGCGUCAGAGGCCGAUACCAGUACGAAACAUGUCGGUCGAGUCGCUGGACUGCGACAGUCCGAUGCUGGCGACCCCGUGCGGCACGCUCAAGUAUGCUGCCCCGGAGACGGUGCAGUCCAUCACGCAGAGUGCCCAGCUGUCCACGACGAAGAAUUUGUUGUCUCGUCUCGAUGUGUACGCCGCCGGCAUCAUCAUGUAUGUCAUGCUAAGCGGCGCGCUUCCCUUCAAGAACUUCGCCAACAAGGCAAGCUUAGUGAUGGAAAUGCGCAACUCGCUCAGCUUCGAAGGGCCUCGCUGGGCCGGCAUCAGUGCCGAGGCGAUCGACCUCAACAAAGCACUUCUUAACUUCGACGCCGUCUCGCGACCACACGCGGCAGAGGCGCUGCAGUACCCAUGGUUCAAGAUCUACGGCAGUGCCUUGCGGCCGCUGUCAACGGAGGAGGCACAGUCGACACCAGGUAUCCCGCUGGACUCGAGUAUCUGCGAGCGUGGGGCGAUGACGCACGCCUUCGAGGCGAUGCGCGCCACCGAGGCAGCUCUGUACUACAAUGAGGAAGAGACAGCAUCGACGUCGGCACCAGUGACCAGCCACAGCGGUUUGCGUACGCCGAAUAGCCGCUGCGUAAGCGUUCCGUUCGGCACGAAUACGUCGGCGUUCUCGAAUAGCAGUAGCACCACGACAGCCGCCCAGACAGCACAGUCUGGCUACUUCGACUUUGCGUGAGGGCCGCGGAGUCGCCAAGAGAAGGAUGGCGAUUUUCCCGGGUAUGCUUGCACGUGUGUCUCUCUGUCUGUAUCUGCUACGUGUGGAAAAGCAGAAACCGUCUCACGACGGUGGUGUACAUUCACUCACAACUCUUACGAUGCCUGCCUGCUCCUCAUUCUUCUCCCCUCUAGGUGCACGCGUCUCUCUAGACAAACAACGAGUUGAGGAGGAGAGAGGGGGGGGUAUGCAAGGGCAGGCGGAGCUGGCGUAUGUGUUCGAGGACGAACUACACGCAGCAUGCCGUUGCCUUCUCCCAUGUACAUCUGACAUGUGUGCACGUAUGUGUCGGUGAAUAAAACGAGACAGGCGACACCGCUCUCGACUCGAGGCGAAUGUGUCUCGUCGCUGUGUGAGCGGAACCGCGAGAGAGGAGGAAGUGGGAAACCCAGGGAAGCGAUGAAUGGCGCCCAGAAAGCACACGCAGAGAGGUAAGGGGGCGGAUCGGGGGCACGCAUACGAGGAAUGUCGUUGUCUGCUUGGGUUGUGUUUCUCGUUUCGACUCCAGAGCCGCCACAUACGCACACAGCGGAGGGCAUCGUGACAGAAAUGUGCGGUGGUACACAGUGCUUGUCUCCUUCGCUUUCCUUUUUCUGUUCCCCUCCUCCUCAAUUUUCGCCUGUUUCUCUGUUUUCCUUUCGAUUUUGCUGCGCGCCUGCGAGCGGCUCGCCCUCACUUCAUUUUCGACGUUGUCCAUGCGCGCGUUGGUUGCGUCCCUCUCCAUCUCCCUCUCUCGCGCUUUUUCAUAGGCGCGGUGGUUUGUGCGUGCGUGCAGCAUGCAUGCGUCCAGGUGUGCGCUUCACACUCUGCGUAUGCGCACGCGUGCCGGUGUCUGUGUAGACGUUGCGUGCUCGGCGGUCGUGUUUUUCGAUGGUGUAUAUGUAUU